rnacentral:rRNA from 1 species
GACAGAGGAUGCAAGCGUUAUCCGGAAUGAUUGGGCGUAAAGCGUCUGUAGGUGGCUUUUUAAGUCCGCCGUCAAAUCCCAGGGCUCAACCCUGGACAGGCGGUGGAAACUACCAAGCUGGAGUACGGUAGGGGCAGAGGGAAUUUCCGGUGGAGCGGUGAAAUGCGUAGAUAUUGGGAAGAACACCGGUGGCGAAGGCGGCUCACUGGCUCAUUACUGACGCUCAUGCGCGACAGCGUGGGGAUCAAACAGG